rnacentral:rRNA from 1 species
GACGAACGCUGGCGGCGUGCUUAACACAUGCAAGUCGAACGGAAAGGCCCUGCUUUUGUGGGGUGCUCGAGUGGCGAACGGGUGAGUAACACGUGAGUAACCUGCCCUUGACUUUGGGAUAACUUCAGGAAACUGGGGCUAAUACCGGAUAGGAGCUCCUGCUGCAUGGUGGGGGUUGGAAAGUUUCGGCGGUUGGGGAGGGACUCGCGGCUUAUCAGCUUGUUGGUGGGGUAGUGGCUUACCAAGGCUUUGACGGGUAGCCGGGCUGAGAGGGUGAGCGGCCAAGUUGGGACUGGAAUGCGGCACAGACUCCUACGGGAGGCAGCAGUGGGGAAGAUUGCACAAUGGGCGGAAGCCUGAUGCAGCAACGCCGCGUGCGGGAUGACGGCCUUCGGUUUGUAAACCGCUUUCGCCUGUGACGAAGCGUGAGUGACGGUAAUGGGUAAAGAAGCACCGGCUAACUACGUG